GGUGAAUGAACCGGUUCUGUGCUCCACAGUUGUUUCUGAUUUCAAAGAGAAUUCGGUUUCAAAAACUGAAGGCAAGGGCAAAUCAAGUGUUGAUUGUGAUGUAGAUUCAACUAUGAAGGAUGACCCGAAGGCGAAAACUGUUGUUAAUGUUAAUGAAGACAUAUCUUUAAAGGUUGUAUUUGUCCUACUUAAACUAUUAUUUUUUAAUUUUACUGAAUGUGUUUAUAUUACUUUUGAAAUUUAUGUUUUGCUUUUUUCAGGACGAAAGCAUGAGUGACAUGGAUCUCGACAGC